GACGAACGCUGGCGGCGUGCUUAACACAUGCAAGUCGAACGAAGAGCGAUGGAAGCUUGCUUCUAUCAAUCUUAGUGGCGAACGGGUGAGUAACGCGUAAUCAACCUGCCCUUCAGAGGGGGACAACAGUUGGAAACGACUGCUAAUACCGCAUACGAUCUAAUCUCGGCAUCGAGGAUAGAUGAAAGGUGGCCUCUACAUGUAAGCUAUCACUGAAGGAGGGGAUUGCGUCUGAUUAGCUAGUUGGAGGGGUAACGGCCCACCAAGGCGAUGAUCAGUAGCCGGUCUGAGAGGAUGAACGGCCACAUUGGGACUGAGACACGGCCCAGACUCCUACGGGAGGCAGCAGUGGGGAAUCUUCCGCAAUGGACGAAAGUCUGACGGAGCAACGCCGCAUGAGCGAUGACGGCCUUCGGGUUGUAAAGCUCUGUUAAUCGGGACGAAAGGCCUUCUUGCGAAUAGUGAGAAGGAUUGACGGUACCGGAAUAGAAAGCCACGG
rnacentral:rRNA from 1 species